CUGGUGCUGUCAUCAAUCUAUGGAGACAAGGAUUUAUUACGAUGCCAUGUUGGGUGUCCCAAUAUACGCAUUCUAUUGUGUGGCUAUUCAGCUGCUGUAUUCUGGUUAUUCUGCUGGUCUCCUCUUCAGGCUACACUUCUCUGUUCCAUCAUCAUAUUGCUGCUGUAUUUGGAUGUAUUGGGGCAAUAUAGUUUCUUGGCUUCAUUUGUUUGGACUUCGCCUUGCCUUAAUGCUCUGC
rnacentral:lncRNA from 1 species